rnacentral:rRNA from 1 species
GCCAAAUAGCUAGCCCAAACCCCUAAAACAAAAAAAUCACCCUUUAUAAACCCUCAUCCACUAAAAAUAUUAAGCAAACCAUUUUCCCCUCUUAGUAUAGGAGAUAGAAAAGAAUCUAAGCGCAAUAGAGAAAGUACCGCAAGGGAAAGCUGAAAGAGAAAUGAAAUAACCCAGUUUUAAGCUCAAAGAAGCAGAGACUAACCCUUGUACCUUUUGCAUCAUGA